rnacentral:rRNA from 1 species
UAGGGAAUCUUCCGCAAUGGACGAAAGUCUGACGGAGCAACGCCGCGUGAGUGAAGAAGGUUUUCGGAUCGUAAAACUCUGUUGUCAGAGAAGAACAAGUUGGAGAGUAACUGCUCCAGCCUUGACGGUAUCUGACCAGAAAGCCACGGCUAACUACGUGCCAGCAGCCGCGGUAAUACGUAGGUGGCAAGCGUUGUCCGGAUUUAUUGGGCGUAAAGCGAGCGCAGGCGGUUCCUUAAGUCUGAUGUGAAAGCCCACGGCUCAACCGUGGAAGGUCAUUGGAAACUGGGGAACUUGAGUGCAGAAGAGGAGAGUGGAAUUCCAUGUGUAGCGGUGAAAUGCGUAGAUAUAUGGAGGAACACCAGUGGCGAAGGCGGCUCUCUGGCCUAGAACUGACGCUGAAGCGCGAAAGCGUGGGGAGCGAACG